CUACGGGUCGCUGCAGUGGGGAAUAUUGCACAAUGAGCGAAAGCUUGAUGCAGCCAUACCGCGUGUGUGAAGAAGGCCCGAGGGUUGUAAAGCACUUUCAAUUGGGAGGAAGAUAGAGUAGUUAAUACCUGCUUUAUUUGACGUUACCUUUAGAAGAAGCACCGGCUAACUCUGUGCCAGCAGCCGCGGUAAUACAGAGGGUGCAAGCGUUAUUCGGAAUUACUGGGCGUAAAGCGCGCGUAGGCGGAUUAGUAAGUCAGUUGUGAAAGCCCUGGGCUCAACCUAGGAACUGCAUCUGAUACUGCUAGUCUAGAGUUUAGUAGAGGGAAGGGGAAUUCCAGGUGUAGCAGUGAAAUGCGUAGAUAUCUGGAGGAACAUCAGUGGCGAAGGCGCCUUCCUGGACUAAAACUGACGCUGAGGUGCGAAAGCGUGGGUAGCGAACGGGAUUAGAUACCCCCGUAGUC
rnacentral:rRNA from 1 species